UGUGUAGGCGGCCACGUAAGUCGGAUGUGAAAGCCCCGGGCUCAACCCGGGAAGUGCACUCGAUACUGCGUGGCUUGAGUACUGGAGAGGUUGGUGGAAUUCUCGGUGUAGAGGUGAAAUUCGUAGAUAUCGAGAGGAACACCGGUGGCGAAGGCGGCCAACUGGACAGAUACUGACGCUGAGACACGAAAGCGUGGGUAGCAAACA
rnacentral:rRNA from 1 species